CGUGGGGAGCAAACAGGAUAGAUACCUGGUAGUCACGCUGUAAACGAUGUCGAUUUGGAGGUUGUCCCUUGAGGAGUGGCUUCCGGAGCUAACGCGUUAAAUCGACCGCCUGGGGAGUACGGCCGCAAGGUUAAAACUCAAAUGAAUUGACGGGGGCCCGCACAAGCGGUGGAGCAUGUGGUUUAAUUCGAUGCAACGCGAAGAACCUUACCUACUCUUGACAUCCAGAGAAUUUAGCAGAGAUGCUUUAGUGCCUUCGGGAACUCUGAGACAGGUGCUGCAUGGCUGUCGUCAGCUCGUGUUGUGAAAUGUUGGGUUAAGUCCCGCAACGAGCGCAACCCUUAUCCUUUGUUGCCAGCACAUUAUGGUGGGAACUCAAAGGAGACUGCCGGUGAUAAACCGGAGGAAGGUGGGGAUGACGUCAAGUCAUCAUGGCCCUUACGAGUAGGGCUACACACGUGCUACAAUGGCGUAUACAAAGAGAAGCGACCUCGCGAGAGCAAGCGGAACUCAUAAAGUACGUCGUAGUCCGGAUUGGAGUCUGCAACUCGACUCCAUGAAGUCGGAAUCGCUAGUAAUCGUAGAUCAGAAUGCUACGGUGAAUACGUUCCCGGGCCUUGUACACACCGCCCGUCACACCAUGGGAGUGGGUUGCAAAAGAAGUAGGUAGCUUAACCUUCGGGAGGGCGCUUACCACUUUGUGAUUCAUGACUGGGGUGAAGUCGUAACAAGGUAACCA
rnacentral:rRNA from 1 species